GGCUAACUAGCUCAGUUGGUUUAGAUCGUCGUGUCAAUAUAGGCAAAAGCUAAAUUCAUUCCGUAUUAAUGCAAAGGUCUUGGGUUUGAUUCCCAAGUUGGCCA